rnacentral:rRNA from 1 species
UAGGGAAUCUUCGGCAAUGGGGGGAACCCUGACCGAGCAACGCCGCGUGAGUGAAGAAGGUUUUCGGAUCGUAAAGCUCUGUUGUUAAGGAAGAACGAGUGUGAGAAUGGAAAGUUCAUACUGUGACGGUACUUAACCAGAAAGGGACGGCUAACUACGUGCCAGCAGCCGCGGUAAUACGUAGGUCCCGAGCGUUGUCCGGAUUUAUUGGGCGUAAAGCGAGCGCAGGCGGUUAGAUAAGUCUGAAGUUAAAGGCAGUGGCUCAACCAUUGUAGGCUUUGGAAACUGUUUAACUUGAGUGCAGAAGGGGAGAGUGGAAUUCAAUGUGUAACGGUGAAAUGCGUAGAUAUAUGGAGGAACACCGGUGGCGAAAGCGGCUCUCUGGUCUGUAACUGACGCUGAGGCUCGAAAGCGUGGGGAGCGAACAGG